AUUGAACGCUGGCGGCAUGCCUUACACAUGCAAGUCGAACGGCAGCACGGACUUCGGUCUGGUGGCGAGUGGCGAACGGGUGAGUAAUGCAUCGGAACGUACCUUUCAGUGGGGGAUAACUAUCCGAAAGGAUAGCUAAUACCGCAUAUUCUGUGAGCAGGAAAGCAGGGGAUCGCAAGACCUUGCGCUGAUUGAGCGGCCGAUGUCAGAUUAGCUAGUUGGUGAGGUAAAGGCUCACCAAGGCGAAGACGGGUAGGGGCCUGAGAGGGUGACCCCCCACACUGGCACUGAAACACGGGCCAGACACCUACGGGUGGCAG
rnacentral:rRNA from 1 species